rnacentral:rRNA from 1 species
GACGAACGCUGGCGGCGUGCUUAACACAUGCAAGUCGAACGGAAAGGCCCUGCUUUUGUGGGGUGCUCGAGUGGCGAACGGGUGAGUAACACGUGAGUAACCUGCCCUUGACUUUGGGAUAACUUCAGGAAACUGGGGCUAAUACCGGAUAGGAGCUCCUGCUGCAUGGUGGGGGUUGGAAAGUUUCGGCGGUUGGGGAUGGACUCGCGGCUUAUCAGCUUGUUGGUGGGGUAGUGGCUUACCAAGGCUUUGACGGGUAGCCGGCCUGAGAGGGUGACCGGCCACAUUGGGACUGAUACGGCCCAGACUCCUACGGGAGGCAGCAGUGGGGAAUAUUGCACAAUGGGCGGAAGCCUGAUGCAGCAACGCCGCGUGCGGGAUGACGGCCUUCGGGUUGUAAACCGCUUUCGCCUGUGACGAAGCGUGAGUGACGGUAAUGGGUAAAGAAGCACCGGCUAACUACGUG